rnacentral:tRNA from 1 species
GGCUGCGUAGCUCAACUGGAUAGAGUACUUGACUACGAAUCAAGCGGUUCCAGGUUCGAAUCCUGGCGCGGUCA